rnacentral:lncRNA from 1 species
UUACAGGUAGAUGGCGAUGCCUGAGGCAAUUGACUUACAAGAGGAUGGAUGAAUGCGUGCUGGUUCUGUUAAGUUUUGAAAAUGAUUACUCGACGUUGGAUCGAGCUUUUGAUCUUAUUUUGAAAUGGUUAUCGGAUGUUCGUUUUAAUUCUUGUAUUAACAGGUGACUAAAGAAAUAAAGAAAUAAAUAUUAUACACUUUAUGGGAGAGGGGUACAUUUGUUAUGAAUGGGGAUU